rnacentral:lncRNA from 1 species
CAUAAACCAGCUCAUCUCUCCAGAUGACCCCUGCAGGAGAUUGCAACACAAUACCACAGUGAGGAAAGCCAGAUGUUGCCCACAUCCCCCUCGGAGAAACCCGCCAGGGGCAUGUUGGGACGUUGGGAGUGUGAGCCCUGGAGACAGUGUUGUGGCAGGGAUCCAGGUUCUCCCAGCUGCCGGCCACAGGGCUCUGCCCAGGGGUCCUGAGUUUCCUCAAUGGCAUUCUAAUCCAUGAGUGUUCAGAGAGAGCAGGUGGGCUCCCCUACCCGGCGCCUUCCGACCGGCAUCUGGAAAAGGAUAGUCAGAAACGCAGUGAAAAUUACGCCUGCAACCCUGGCAGGCAGGGAAGCACUUAAUAACUUACGUGGGUGUCAGGGCAAGGGAGGCGUCCGCAGACCAGAGUUGUGAUGGACCGUUCUCCACCAUGUGAUGUUCAUUUUCUCCACUGAGAUUAAAAAAGAAGAGGAAAGGAAAGAAGGAAAGUGCACAACCUCCUUGAAAAGACAGCUCCUCCUGCCGAAAAUGUGUUGCAGACUCGGUCAGUCAGGUGGACUUAAUUGGAAGGCACUUUCUUUUUGAUGGAAAAAGAAGGAGAAAGAUUUGUAAAAUUGAACCAAUGUUAACACACUCGCAUCCCACAAGGAGCUGAGUUUUGAUCUGCUUCAUGCUGAGAGAGCGGGAAGGAGACCAGAGUGUGUCUCAGACUUUCUAAGCUCAGCUACGUAGAGCAGGGGAGAUAAUCUAGGUUUGUGCUACUGGAAUCUUUGAGUAAAUUCUGCCAGAUUCAUCAUGUCUCCUAGGAGCAAAAGUGAGAGAUGCCAGAAAUCUUCAUUUAGUCUUUGGAUCUGGCAACAUCAGAGGAGAGGUGUGCACCUCUUGGUAUCACUUGAGGGCUUUUCAGGUCUCUUAGAAAAGAGGCCCCGGAGAGCUAAGAGAGCCCCUUCCACCACAGGAGAACACAGUGAGAAGGCACCAUCUGUCCACCAGGAAGAGUGCCCUUGCCAGACAUUGAAUCUGCCAGUGCCUGGAUCUUGAACUUUGCAGCCCCCAGAACG